rnacentral:lncRNA from 1 species
UGCAAACCAAGAGGAACUAAAAGAAGAUGAUGUUGCUGUAGUUAUAGUCCCAUUAAUUCUUCAAAGCCAUCUCCGACAGCUUCUCCAUUUGGCCUGCCGAAUCUCCUCCUACGGUCUACCAGUCUACUAUCUUGGCUCAGCCACCUCCAACAGUCAAGCUAGGCUCCGGUCAACUACCUUAAAUCCUUCUGACAUAGCCAAGAUCCACUUCCAUGACCUCCAAUUUGAUACUCAAGAUCCUCCUCAGAUAUCCCCAUACAUGUUUGGAAUGCUUCUAUGCGUUCACGUGAGCCCAUUGCUUCCUUCCUUCGAGAUAUCUCGUCUAAGGUAAGACGAGUCGUCGUUAUUCACGAUCUUUUAAUGUCUUAUAAUAUUAUGGAUAUUUCUUCCCUUCCCAAUGGAGAAUCCUAUGUAUUCUACUGCCUUCCCAUUUUCGAUAUGUAUUGUAGUCACUACGCUGCAGUAGCGGGGUUGCCCAUUCCACUUGAAGAAGAACUUCUUAAGAAGUUACCAUCUAAUGAUGGAUGUUACAACCCUGAAGAUGUCAUGCACCAUUCAAAACUUCUGUCACAGUGUACAGGCUUCAACGCCGGUGAUAUCUACAAUACAAGCCAAGUAAUUGAAGGUAAUGCUUUUAUUGACUCGAUGGCACAUCUCGCAAGCAUACAAAACAAGAAGCUAUGGACACUAGGACCGAUUCAGCUCCCCAUACAAGAUCUUGCUAUCCUAACCGACCACCUAUGUUUGGAUUGGCUAAACAAACAACCUCCAAAAUCAGUUCUUUAUGUAUCUUUUGGAACGUCCACUUCAUUUUCAGCUGAACAAAUCAAGGAGAUUGCAAUUGGUUUAGAGCUAAGCAAACAGAGGUUCAUAUGGGUAUUGAGAAAUGCUGAUAAAGGAGAUCCCGUUACUAAUAAAUGCGAAGAUAACAGAACAGUACUACUUGUGUUGCCUGAAGGAUUUGAGGAAAGGGUAAAAGGCGUGGGCUUAGUGGUGAGAGACUGGGCACCCCAACAAGAAAUCUUGGCUCAUUCUUCUACCGGUGGAUUCAUGAGUCAUUGUGGCUGGACUUCUUGCUUAGAAAGCAUUAUUGCAGGAGUGCCAGUAGCUGCUUGGCCUAUCCAAUUUGACCAACCAAAAAACAGUUUUUUGCUCGCAGAAAUAUUGAAAAUAGGGAAAUUCUGAGAUCAAACACUAAUUUGGAAUUGUAAUUAAAAUUAAGUUAAAAAAUAUCUGAAAAAAGGGAAAAAUUCUCUGGUCAAAUGAGCACUAAGAAUAAUAAGUAAAUAAAUUUAAUUUUACCGGGUAAAAAUUAUGCAAUUUUUACGUUGAAUAAAUAAAUAAGAUGAAUAAUUAGAAAAUAAAGGCCUUGAAUAAUAUGUGAAGAGUACUUCAUGUGAUGUAUAUAUGUCAUGCAAACUUUUACAUUGAAUAGAUAAAUAAGACAAAUAAUUAGAAAAUACGGGCCUUGAAUAAUACACCCUCCGUUCAUAAUAAAUAAAUUGUUGAAUUUUGACGCACAUAUUAAGAAAAAAACAUUAAAGAUAUAAAUUUAACACAAUUUUUUAUUUUUAUCCCACAAAAAAAAUUGAUCUUUUAAUACCUUUUCAAAAGUUAAUUGGUUUUCAAAUCAUAAGGGUAAAUUUGAAAAAAAAUUAAGGAAAAAGUAUUAAAGACAUAAAUUUAACACAACUUUUCAUUUUUAUCCAAAAAAAAAAAGUUGGAUCUUUUAAUAUCUUUUCAAAAGUUAAUUGAUUGUUAAAUCAUAAGGGUAAAUUUGAAAAAAAAAUCAAUGAUUCAUUUAUUUUGAAAUAUUAAUAAAUACCCCAAUAAUUCACUUAUUUUGAAACGAAGGGAAUAGAUAAAGAAGAGUACUUCAUGUGAUGUAUAUAUGUUAUGGAAUUUCUUACAUUGAAAAGAUAAAUAAUUACUCUGCCUAUUAAAAAAUAAUGAUCGAUUUUUAUUUUUAAUAUGUUUUAAAAAAAAAAGAUUUUUUUUAACGACUCUUUAAUUUAAUUUUUUAGUAGAAAUAUUUAAAAUCAUAAAAUUAAAAAACAUUUAAUAUAUUUAAUAUCAUUUUAAUUUGACAUUAUAAAAUUUAUUUUUUUAAAGUUCAUGUCAAGUUAAGAAAAAAAAAAGUCAUUCUUUUUUAAAUACAGGGGAAGGAGUAAAAAAAAGUAAGCGAAUACUUCAUGGGCCGGAUGAAAGUAAGCGAAUACUUCAUGGGCCGGAUGUAUACAUGAUGAAUGUGAAUAGGUGCGUAAAUUUCUAUAUAAAUCCUUGGUAAGAGCAACCCACUCUAUUCAAAAAUUUCCAAGAAAUAAAACAAUAUAUAGCUAGCUUGGCUGUAGGUUUGAUAUUCAUGGAUAACAGAGAGAGUAUUGUUGCAAACCAAGAGGAACUAAAAGAAGAUGAUGUUGCUGUAGUUAUAGUCCCAUUAAUUCUUCAAAGCCAUCUCCGACAGCUUCUCCAUUUGGCCUGCCGAAUCUCCUCCUACGGUCUACCAGUCUACUAUCUUGGCUCAGCCACCUCCAACAGUCAAGCUAGGCUCCGGUCAACUACCUUAAAUCCUUCUGACAUAGCCAAGAUCCACUUCCAUGACCUCCAAUUUGAUACUCAAGAUCCUCCUCCAGAUAUCCCCAUACAUGUUUGGAAUGCUUCUAUGCGUUCACGUGAGCCCAUUGCUUCCUUCCUUCGAG